ensembl:lncRNA
CUCACGUUCAACGCUGGUGCAUCCAACUUCCCCUUCUGGCUUCUGUAGGCAUCUGCAGCAUGUUACAUGCAAAGAACAUCGUUCUCAUUGAACAACAAAGUACAUUUCAGGGCUGAAUUCCAAAUGCGCAAACAGUCACACACCCGCCUCUCUGCUCGAGGUAGUGGUGAGUACCCAUGGGAUUAUGCAAGAUAUCGGUGUGGCCAGCCUGUAACGGCAGCAGGUUUGACGCAGGUGAAAGGACAGACAGACUGACCACAGGAAUCAAACCUUUGUUGGUGUACCAGUUUCACAAUGUUCAGGUAAUGACAUCAUGGGGCAGCCGAGGUAGGGAGGCGGGGGAGCAGGGAUAAUGCGGUGUGGAAACUGGAGUUGCAAACAAAUCACAAACAGAACGUCUUGGAUUCAAAUGUGCACUCGGUGAACGAGGAGAAAGAAAAUAAUGGUCUAAUUACAUAGUGUCAGUACCCACUACUGAUAGAAAUUUGUUGAAAACUCUCCCAAGCCUUGUUUGGAACAGUACAACCAAUAUUUGACACUGAGAAAAAACAAACAUAGAUUUGGAUUUAAGUAGUUGUUAAAACAAUGUUUGAAAGAGAGCAAUUUCUUUUACGUGUGUCUUUUCUUUG